AUAAUAAUACAGUGACUCAGCGUGUCUGGCUGUUAACCAGAAGUUUGGUGGUUCGAGUCCACCACCCAGGGAUG